rnacentral:misc_RNA from 1 species
UGGAGACAUCAUGGAAAUGACUUUUGGAGGGCGAUAUGUGAUAUUUAUGAUGUCCCUCUUCUCAAUAUACACGGGCCUGGUCUAUAAUGAGUUCUUCUCUGUGCCGUUUGAGUUGUUUGGAAAAUCAGCAUAUGGGUGUCGUGAUCCUUCUUGUAGGGAUUCUACCACUGCAGGCUUAAUCAAAGUGCGUGACACUUAUCCAUUUGGUGUCGAUCCAGCAUGGCAUGGUUCACGUAGUGAGCUGCCGUACCUCAAUUCAUUGAAGAUGAAAAUGUCUAUCCUUAUUGGGGUGGCCCAGAUGAACCUUGGGAUAAUUUUGAGCUUUUUCAAUGCUCUGUUCUUUCGCAAUGGUGUGAACAUUUGGUGUCAAUUUAUUCCCCAAAUGAUAUUUUUGAAUGCUCUGUUUGGAUAUCUGUCCGUCCUUAUCAUUGUGAAGUGGUGCA